rnacentral:lncRNA from 1 species
AGCUUUUCCAUGCAAUUAGCAUUAGGGUUUUAAACCCUAAAUUGAAUUUUUCCUUUAGUCAGCAUUGGGGUUUUAAACCCUAAACUGAACUUUUUUCUAUUCAGCCAGCAUUAGGGUUUUAAACCCUAAACUGAGCUUUUCUAUGCAAUCAGCAUUAGGGUUUUAAACCCUAAACUGAAAUUUUCCUUCAGUCAGCAUUAGGGUUUUAAACCCUAAACUGAACUUUUCCUUUAGUCAGCAUUAAGGUUUUAAACCCUAAACUGAACUUUUUUCCAUUCAGCCAGCAUUAGGGUUUUAAACCUUAAACUGAGCUUUUCCAUGCAAUCAGCAUUAGGGUUUUAAACCCUAAACUGAAUUUUUCCUUUAGUCAGCAUUAGGGUUUUAAACCCUAAACUGAACUUUUUCCAUUCAGCCAACAUUAGGGUUUUAAACCCUAAACAGAGCUUUUCCAUGCAGUCAGCAUUAGAGUUUUAAACCCUAAACUGAAUUUUUCCUUUUAGUCAGCAUUAGGGUUUUAUACCCUAAACUGAACUUUUUCCAUUCAGCUAGCAUUAGGGUUUUAAACCCUAAACUGAGCUUUUCCAUUCAGCUAGCAUUAGGGUUUUAAACCCUAA